UAAGAUAAGGUAAUUUCCUUACAAGUGAUGGGAAGAUGCUAUCCUUAUGUGUGUGGUGUGUGGAAAGACCUACUAUUAAGGAUAUGGUCAAAGUACAUACUACAUAUACAUACUCACUCCUAUCAUUCAUUUCCUACUUCUUAACUCACUCAUUCAUCUUUGAUUUGUGCUUCCUCUAAGUCUUUCUUUGGGAGAUCUCUUUCUACAGCUUCCUUUGUUUCUUUGUUUGUUUCCAAACAAUUAAUUCAAGUAAUUUUUCUCUCUAAAUAUUAAUUAAUUAGUAAACACAUUUUACUCAUCAUAAAUAACUUCCGUUGGUAGUUUUCAUGUUAUAUUUAUUACCUGUUAAAUCUUUCUCUAAAUCUCUCUCUCUUUUCUUUGCAGAUCUUAGUUUGUGUUUUUCUGACAAAGAUCUCACUUUGUUUGUUUGUUCCCACACUUUCAGGUAAAUCUCUUCUCUUCCUCUGUUAACAAAAGUUAAUCUUUUAAAUUAUCUAUUUGUCCCACAACAACAGAUUCAUAAACUUGUACAAAAAUGAGAGAAUCAAAUCAACCAGUAAUGCUAAAUAGAAAUAAAAAGCAUUACUUUACUGGAGAGUAUUUUACAAGAUAAAUACUAUUUAACUAUAUUUAGAAUUUUAUGUAAAGAAAAAAAUCACUUUUUUCCCACUGGUUUUAUUUAAGGAGUGUUUGCCUGUUUGUUAAUUG
rnacentral:lncRNA from 1 species